rnacentral:lncRNA from 1 species
GAUGAUUUGCUGCCGAGAAAGAUCCGUCCACAGAGAGCGCCACACAUCCCACUGGUGGUGGUGGAUGCCAAUGCAUGCAUGCAGCAUGGUUGGUAUCGGUAAUUUUUACUUGGCACACCUCGCACUCUGCAUAUAUGUCGGUUCCAUACGUACAUUUGUGCAGUUCCACCAAAAUGCAGCUGAAUAACCCUGUUUGCACAGAUAAUGAAAAAGCGUGAUUACAUUAUAGUGGCACUAGUUGAUGAAACACACAAAAUAAAUAGAAGAAAAUAUUGCGGUAGUAUCAUAGUAUGCCAUGCUGCGAGGGCGAGAUGGGCCCUGCGACGCCUCAUACGGUACGCCUCAUACUGGACAUCGUCCCAAGUCUCCCAGAUACACCUUCUGCCAGUGAUGAACAUCAGUGCACAGCGGUAGUACAAGGAGGCGCCUUGAGACAUUCAAAUCUCUAUUUUUGUACAUAUCAACUAAAAUUAAGCACCCCAGUUUGCAGAAACGCUUAAACAUUAACAAUGGGACUAGUUGAUGAAACAUACAUUAACAAAGAGAAGCACUUUCUUUAUCUACAUUGGAAAUGAAAUGAUAGAGAUGACACUCGCUCUAUUUUAACUGUAUUAUUACUUCAUUUUAUCAGUGACACUAGGGUCGAGCAGGUGGCAAACGAGGUGUACCGUGCGUCGCAAGGAUGGAGGCCGGGGGUGCUUAGACUGGGAUGUUGAAGCUGGCUCUUUCAGUCACCAACAUGGAUGAUUCAAUUCAUGGGACCUUUUGGUGCAGUUCACCUAAAAUGAAGCAAUGUCCCGUGAGCUAGCAGCUUCUUCUUCAAUUUUUUAAGAAAAGGGCUCCAGCCCCGGUUCCAUUUCCAUCAGAAAACGAAACCCACAGAGCUUCUUCUUCAUUAGUUGCAAUAAAAUUGAGCAACAUCAAGGUUGGUUGUGAAGCUCCUGGAAUGCUCAACUAUAAUUUGGAUAUCAUUUGUGCAGUUCAACUAAGAUCGAGCGUGAAAUGUAUAUCUCUGUUUGCACAAAAAAGGUGGAAAGGAGGGUGACUAACAAGUGAUGAAACAUGCAUCAAAUGAAAAGAAGCAUGUUCCUUAUCUGAAUGGCAAUCCUACAAGGACAGUAGCAAUUUCUAAAGCACUGGCAUUGCUAGAUAUUAGUGUGGGCAUUAGGAUUAACUAUGACAACCGUUAAAUACGACAUUACUUUGGGCACGGGAGAGUAGGCGGACCAGGACAGUUGCAUUUCUAACGAAAAGAACCAACUUAUCUUAAUGGGAAAUUUUAGCAGGACAUGUAAAGAAGUGCCAUUGAUUCAUAUUACUGGAGGCAUUACAUUGAAAACAACAUUGGUUUAACGUGCCCUUACUUUUAACAGUGCGACUGCUACAUUUUACCAGUGGCAUUACAUAAGAGUGGCUCGGGGCAACAAACAUCAGAACAGGAUAUCUGGGUUGGUCCCAUUUUUGUUCUGUAUAGCCACCUUAUACUGUGUGAGGCUAGCAAAUCUAGUGCUGGACUUACUCUGUUGACUUGUCCCCCAGUCCCCACUUUCUUUCCUUUUUCAACCAAUAGAUCGGGUUUAUAUUGAGUUUGUACUGCGUUUCCCUUUAUUUCCCUAUUAGACCUAGAGACCAGUUGGAUAGCCAGUCUCUGCUACUUUUCGCCCCCAUUAUUUCCUCUUUCGACCAAGUCCUAGAUUCAGGUAACAAAUCCUCCCCCACCCCCUUUCUUCCUUGUUUGAACCAAGUAGUACUAGAUUCGAGUGCAUGAACUAGUUUUACCUCUUAAACGUAAAAAAAAUUAGGUGGUUUUCGAACAGCCGAUCGAUCCUAUCUACGAGGGGGCCUGAGAAAUAGUAAAAGAUACAAAUGCAGCGACGUCAGGAGCUCGGGAAGUAGAGCAAGGCCGGUUUCGAAAGAAGUUAUACCUGAUGGUCGCCGGGAUGUCGCUAGGUGGGCGGCGGGAGGCCGGAUCUGCCCACACUACGGCAGCGAGGAAGAAGGGGUCAGAGGCCCUCCCUCGCCAGCGGUGCUUGGGAGAGAACGGCAAGGCAGGCUGAUCGGGACGCUCCCAGCAGUGGGUAAGAGCCGUCGCGAAGGACGACCGCGUGAACGUUGCACCUUCUCACCUUCCCCGGCGGAGAGGAUCCGGCUGGAUCUGUGACCAGCGGUGAGCAGAGAGAGAGAGAGUGUAGCCACCAUUGUCGUGUUUAGAUCUGGAGAGGCCGAGACAGUGUGAAGAGAGCAACACUAGCAAGCAAGCGCAGAGGCUCCUGCCUAUAUAGUGGAGUAGUACUUGUUUUCUUUUGUCUACCGGAGCCGGCUUGACCUCGUCAAUGACUGUCAAGAAGUCUUCAUGCACGUGGCCCGAAGGCGCAGUUGUCGUCAUUUUGAUCUGAAGCGCCGGAUUAUAACAUAUAACACGAAAAAAUGCCACAUGACAAGAAAUCAUAACCUCACUGCCCAAAGGAGACAACAUGAAUCCCGACGGACAAACUAGACGAGGAACAAAGCUCAAAUUAAAGAUAAACUCGUAGAAAAGGGGUCCAUCGAUAGAUGUCCUAAUUAACAUAGCCGGCUUGACCUAGAUGGCAGCCGAGUAGUCACUGUUCGUGCAUGUGCCCCCAAUGACUAGCUCAACUCAGUUGUCGCUGUUUAACCCUCGCAGUGAUCCGAAGCACAUGACACCUAAUUUUGCGAGAUGACAAGAAACCUUUUUUUAGAUUUCUCACCACAACUACAGCCAUGUACAACACAGCAUGCACGAUAUGUACACGAUAGCCAAUCCAGGCGUGUCUGCUGGAGUCUGGUCACAUGCAUGGACGAACUGAUCUUCUGUGUCUUGCAGGGAUCGUCCAGGCACCAACGUAGUACAACACUUCUCUAGUACUAUCGCUCGUCUCCCUCUUCUAUUAAGUCACACAACUUGCGGGGCCGGGGAGUGUGCCUAUGGUCGGUUCUCAAUUGCCGUCCCACAUGUGUGUGCAAACGCAAUAUGACGCGUGUUCCAUUCGGAGAGCAGCGUGCCAGACCGACCGACCGUCUGGGGUGCGACGCGAACGCGACGGGCGUGCUGUAUACUCCGUAGAUGUGUACCGCCGUUUUCUAGACGCUUUGCUCCAUGGCGCGGGCGCAAUCCAUGGAUACAAAAUUAGUAUACUGUAUACUAUUUAAAAGUCGAGGGCGAGGCUUUUCCUGCGCGGUAGGCCGUGGGGCAGUUCCGCCUAGUUGUUUCGACAGAGACGCGAGAAGACGAGGGAGUAGGCUGCUGCAAACGUAGGGCUGUGUGAUUUGACAGCGAGUUACUGCUGGACAGGUGGGGCCCCAUGAUUUGACUUGCCAUUAUCAUUUUAACUGCGGCGCUACGACCGGCGUGAGUCUCCCGAUUCCUGACCACCUCCAUACAGGUGCCUCUCCCAAUGCUCCACCAUGUAGUAGAGGCUGGCUCUUGCAUGAGAGCCCACUUCUCCACUUUUUCAUUGCCUCUCUUUCCUCCACAUAUGCAAAAAUGCCAUGUAAAGCGCACUAUUGUACUUACUUUUACUUGCUCCUACAGGUGCUUAAGCUUGCCACAUAGGCAUAAAGUCUGAUGUGGCAAGUUAAUCAAGAAGAGAGAGACUAGUUUGGUGACCCAAGGAAGAAACGGUGCUAAGCGCGUGUACCUAGGUGAAAAGACAAUUUUGAGUCUAUAGCUAAUUAAAUGAAGCAAACUUAGCAACACCAUUUCAUUGGAAGAGGUCACUCCUUAGCAAAUGCAAUAAAUACUAGUACUCCCUGUGUCCCAUAAUAUAAGAACGUUUUUGGCACUACACUAGUGUCAAAAACGUUCUUAUAUUAUGGGACGGAGGGAGUACGAAGAAAGAGAUAGAGAGGAGUAAAAAAAUACACUUAUAGCCAACCUUAUAGCCAACCUUGUUGUAGUAUGAGUGACUAAGUGAUGACUAUGUAUGACAUGCCAACAUCAGAUAGCCUAACGCACCGUGUUAAAUCUCCAAGGGCGCGACCGCGCGAGCGACGCGACGGUCGUGGUAGGCGCGACCAUGAUACGGGCUGCUGGCAGCCCUUGGAUCUGAGAUCAAACGGUCGCAUGCUAAGUUGCUGAAAAUUUGCAGAAUAACCCUCCAGGAUAGGAUAUUCACCCAUAUGUCUAGAAUCACGCCAUGCAACCGUUCGAUCUCAGAUCCAAGGGCUCUCGAAAGCCCGUAUCAUGGGAGAAUGGAAAGCCACUACCCUGCCGUUCGCAUGCUGGCAGUUCACUCCUACUCGUCCCCGCACGUCCUUCAAUACUACGGCGGUUCGCUCCUACUCGUCCCGUCCGUUCACAUUACAGCAGUUCCACUAAUCCUAACCAUCCUCCCAAAUCCAUGGCGUCCCAAAUCUCCACGAUCGGCGGUGAGUACAAGGUUAGAACCAUCACCGGCGAUGAGUUCGACGUCAUCUACACCCAUUCUUCCGCGAUGGUGAAAGGAUGUCUUUCUCGCUUCAGACGCAUGUUCGAAGACUCAGAUGAUGAGUGGGUCGCUGGGCUAGAUGUUGAGUACACCACAGUCCUGGGACGAGAGAAGGAUCUAAAGGACGAAGAGAGGAAGAAGCCCGCCGUGAUCCAGGUUUGCGUGCAUGACUUAUGCUUGGUCUACCACAUAUGCCAUGCCGAUGUUGAGUGCUAGGAUUUUAAGGACUUCCUCGAGAGCAACCUAGUCAAAUUCGUUACUGUAUUCUUUGGUAACGACAAAGAAGUCAUGCAUCGGAUAGGCCUCGUUGUAGGCAACACCUUCGACCUCCAGAAGAAUCGGCUGGUGUCCUCUCAUCAGCCUUCAAUGCUGACCCUGGCAGGAGCCAUGGUUCAUCCUUCGUACGGUAAACUGGAGAAGCCUCCAUACACGUUUCAUCGUCAUGCAUGGCAGCGGAAUGUACUAGAUAUAGACCACAUCCACUACGCUGCAAUGGAUGGCUACCUUUGCUUCAAUAUCUACAAGGGUUGGAUGAAGAGCAACAGCCAAGUGUGCGGUUCAAGCAAAGAAGUAUCGGCCAAGAGGAAGAGGGACAAGGACGAAGUCGAGGACGUGGACGAGGACUCCGAGUAAGGUGGCAGUGUCGUUGCUCAUGGUGGUUCUAAUGCAGUGUCUACCGGAAUAGUUGCAAAGUUUAAUUUCAGGUGUGCUUAAUUUAAUUUGAGGGGUGUGUUAUGCUGAGCCCCCAGCAGAACUAUGUUAUGUUUCUUCUUGUUACUUUAACUCUUCAGUACGUACAUACUAGUAUUUCUUACAUUUCAUCUUUUAGUUGGUAUAGUACUACCACUCGUUUCUUCACAUUAUAUAUGUACAAUAUAUAUGGCCAACAUCAUAUAGCUAGCAGUUUAGUUGUCAAAGAAUUUCAGGGUGCUUAGUUUUGUUAAAGAAUUCCAGGAUGCUUAGAGGGUGCUUGGAUCCAACGGACUUAUUUUAGUCUGACUAAAAAUAGUCUCUUUAAGAGGCUAAAGUUCCAAACACCCCUGACUAAAGAGGGGCUAAAACUAGUCUUGAGACUAAAAUUUUUUAGUCAGGGGUACCCCUACUAAAAUGUGGAUUAGUCCUCUCUCUACGCAUUUAACUCCUCUCCUUUAACACAGGCGAGUUCUGGAUUGAAGGGUUUGGAGGAUAAUAAAUGCUCAUUAACUUGAUUUUAGCUUUUUUAGUAUUUGGAUCCAAGCAUGGGUGAGGCUAGCAUGUUUUAGUCCCACUACUUUUAGUCAUGGGACUAAAACGUAUCCAAGCACCCUCUUAGUUUUAUUUGAGGGGUGGGUUGUGCUGGACACCAUUAUUGUGACUAGCCUUUUUAAUAGUACUAUAUGCAUAAUUUGGCGACGAGCGCUCUCUAUAUGUACCACCUCUUUUUUAAUUUCAAGUUUUGCUCCAUGGCACAAUCCAUCGAUAUUACUGCUGUACAAAAGUAUACAUUUUUUAAAAGGCUAGAGGGCGGGGCAGUCUAGCUUGGUCGGUUUCACGAGAGGCGAGGGUCUUUGUGAUUUGACGGCUCGUUACUGCUAGAAGGUGGGGCCUUGUGAUUUGACUGCUCGUAUAAAUGCGCUGACGACCUAAUCGAGGAGGAGCAAAGAACUGUGCGGUAUACUCAAGUUUUCCACUGGAGUAGUACUGCGACGGAGGAGCACGAAACACGGCAGCCCAGUGCCAUAUGGCGAUAAAAAAUGAUCUAAUUUGCUAGUCAUCUCAUUGUUAGCAUUGUUCUAUUCAUUCCCUCAAAAAAACCAUUGUUCUAUUCAUGCCUCGCAGAGAACGUGACACGUGCGGCGAAACACCCGAAGCAAAAGAUGAAACACAGGAGCAAAAGAAGAAGGAAGAUUAUCACCCCAAAUGAUCUAAUUCGCCGCGGAGUCGUAACUGCUUCUUCAUCGCCUCCACGACCUCCAUCUCCUUGCGCGUCUCCUCCGCCAUCUUCUUCAUUCUAUCCAUGCACGCGGGAUUUCUCGACGCGAGCCUUCAUCAUCUGUUCCACGGCCGCAUUACGUACCUUGACAGCAGCCGGGUGCUCGAUGCGGAGCUUCGCGAACUCCUCCUUUUGUUCCAUGACGAGGGCCUGCAACAUCUUCAUCGAGGAACUACUAUUCUCAUGCAGCAUCUUCCAGCCGGCGUUCUUCUCCUUCAACAGGUCGGUCUCGUGGCAGAGCUUCGCCUUGUCCUCCUGAAGUCACAGGAUUUCGCCGGUCGCCUUCUUCUCCGAGGCAAUGCUCUUCUUCAGCAGCAUCACCAAGCCGGCGGUCAACUCCCCCUGUUGAUUGAGCUCAGCGGGCAUGUCGUCGAGGCUCUCCUUCAGCAACUCCAUCAAGCCUUGGAUGAACUCCUUCUGCUUAUUGAGCUGAUCGGGCAUGCCGUCGAGGGAUAACGACUCCAGCUCCGCCGGCUCGGCAUGUUCGCCUCCGCGGCUAGGGCGCUCCUGGGAGCCAUCGCCUGCCCGUGAGAGAUCUUUCGAGGUCUCUGCGUGGCGGCGAGCCCUCUCUUUUUUUUCCGCAGCCUUGGUUGCCGCUCCCUUGUUACGAGUAGUUCUCGACCUAGAGCUCUGCUCACCGGCCAUGGCAACGACGGACGAAGAAGAAGCACUUAUGAGGAGGAAAGGUAGAGUAAUUUUCGGUUAGGUAGUUCCCCUUUUUAUAACCUAAGUACUAGCACUAGUACUAAUACCUGCAUAGUGGGAACACGUUCAGGUUUGGUACGUACUAGUAGGUGUGAGCAGGCUUUCGAAUGUGAUGGGAACAAGGUAAAGAUUAAUUGAUGGUUUUGGUUUCGAGGCCCGAAACGGCUCCCGAUGAGUUUAGUGGAACAUAAAUUUCAAGUACUACACUGCUCAAAUGCGUAAAUAUUAUGUUACUGUCAAAAAUUGGCACAAAAUACGAAGGAGACCAAUGGAAGUACUACUAGCAACCCACAAUUUAACUACUCGCAUGCGCGCAGUGGAGCAAUAAUGUCUUUCUUCCGCCCUCACGUCCACUCAAUUUGCAUGCGCUGUAUUAAUUGACCAUCAAUGAAGUGAACGACUUUACACGCGUCAAAUUAUCACAUGGGGUGGAUCUUGGUACAAAAUUGCGUCCGCCCGUGUACCCGCGUGUGCGUGCGAGGGAAUGAGUGCGUGCGUGGCGUGCGUGCACAUCUUCGCUUCGUGCAUGUACCGCCAGUAUGGCUCAGGGAGGACGAGUACAUUCUUCUGGAACCAGCAGCACGUCACUGUGAUCAAUCCACGCAAGGAGGUCGCGACAACGCCUCCACAUGUGCCACGUGGCUUCAUGAACUGUAAGAGAGACACUGUGUAGCGUGCCAUUGGUAUUCUAAUUUACGUGUUUUGCACAUACUCGAAGUACUAGUAAGGUACACGUGCAUUGCACGCAUCAGAUUUUGCAACCAAAUUAUGAAUAAAUACCACACUAUUGCAUGUAAGCUCUGAGUCAUAUAUGCCUGAUGUAGCCCUUCGUUUAAUUCUUAUAGUUCAUCUCAUUCAAAAUCAAUUAGUUUUUAUAAAAAAGCUAAGAACGCGGGAAUAGGAAAAACAUGGGAUUAUAAUGGAAUGUCGUCUUGAAUCCUACAGGAUUGUACGAGUGUUUGAUUGUGCAUAGAAAAAACGCGGAAUUCUUUCAAAGUGGUUUGAGUGGAUGGGAUGUUUCCUAUGAAAUCUAGUGCAAAUGAAUCAUAUGGAAAAAUUCCUAUGGUUUACAAUCCUACGAAUCAAACAACCAAGAUAGGAAAAAUUCCUAAUGAUUAGAAUCCUCCAAAAUUCCUUUGAGAAUCCUUUGAAUCAAAGAAGCCCUUAAUCUAUUUUAUGAUUCAUGGAAUUGUGCGUUGUAAAGCAUAAAGUAAAAACAAAUAAUGGCAAUUCAACUAGAAAAAAAGUUUGGGCAGUUAUGAUAUGGAAGAUUCUAGAACAAAAGAGAACCACUGUUGUUUUGAGGUUUGUGCAUUAUGCUUAAGUUCAACCAUGGAGUCUGCUAGAUUGUACAUGUGGAAAAAUCCAGUGGGGGGCUAGAAGAUGGUGCGAGGAGCCGAGUGGAGGGAGACUAUGAAGGAAUGCACAAGUGCGAGAUCGAUAUUUAGAGAGAGGGGGCGAACACGUGCGCUGUUGCGCGCAGUGGCGGAGCCAUGAAAAAUAAAUGAGCUAGGGGGCAAGCAUUGCUAAUCCUUUACGAGGAGGGUCAAUUCAUGAACUUAAACCAUUUUUAGCAGCAAUUGUCUAAUGAUCACAUUCAUAUUAGCGUCGAUAUAUAGUGAUGUUAGGGGGGAGGGGCCAGGGCCCUUACUGCCCCCUGUCUUCGCCAUUGUGCACGCGUUUGAGAGAUGAAGCGGAAGGCAUGGAUGAUGAGAGGGGGACGUUGGAUAUAUAAUUAAUGUGGGUGUAUUAGCCAUAUAUGUUAAUCCUAUAUAGAGAGGUAUAGAUUGAUCGAUGUGGACGUGGGAAAGAGGGUGAGACCUCACUGGAUAUAUCGAUUGAUCGGUUUGUGUGGAAAACUAUGAAAGACCUAGCUAUAUACACACAUACAUAGAGGAACAUCGAUCGUUGCGCAUGCACGCAUGAGAGAUAAAGAAUGCCCGAUAUGAUGGAGAGGGGGAUGUGUGUGGGGGUGUGCCUUCAUGGGAGACCGACCUGGAGAAAAAGAAUGCAUGCGUGCGAUGGAUAAUGCCGACUGGUAGUGUGUGUGCAUGCAUGCACGAGAGAAAGUUAGUGGUACAAUUAUAAAGAGAAGACUAUUGUGUGGGUGUAAAAGAAUAGGUGAGGUCAUAAUCAAUGUAAAGUUGAAUUCAAAUAUUUGAAUAAGAGAUCCUGAUGUUUGAAACCCAUGCAUGCAUGAAUAUAACGGAGAUCUGCGCGGUGUGGUUUGGAAACGAGCAUGUUGUAAUGUACACACAUUGAACAAGGUCAGACUGAUUUGAAUUUGAGAUACCGAUGGCAGACAUCAUUUGGCCACGUCGCAUCCGUGCAUGGACACACUAUUCUAAUUGGAGAUGAUGGGCAGCUUUCGCAUCACAUAUCUAUAUCUAUACCCCUAUAUAUAUUAUAUUUUAUAUUUUUUAUAUUGUGUGCGGGUAACUUUAACUUUGAAAGAUGGUCGUUGGAUGAGGCGAAUCCGAUGGUCCAAAGAUGGCAAAUUUGAGCACUACUGGCCGUUGGAUAUCAUCUAGAUUCCACCAGAUUUCGCCACAUGUAUAAUCUAGAAGACUCCAUGGUUGAACUUAAGCAUAAUGCACAAACAUCAAAAUACAAGCACUUCUUAUUUGUUCUAGAAUCUUCCGUAUCAGAAUUGCCCAAAUAUUUUUCUACAUGAUUUGCCAUUAUUUGUUUUUACUUUAUGUCUUACGACGCACAAUUCCAUGAAUCUUAAAAUAGAUUAGCUUUCUUAUAAAAACUAGAUGAUUUUGAAUGAAAUAAACUAUAAGAAUUAAAUGAACAUCUACAUCAUGCAUAUAUGACUCAAAGCUUGCAUGCUAUAAUGUGGUAUUUAUUCAUAAUUUGGUUGCCAAAUCUCAUGCGUGCAAUGCACAUGUACCUUACUCUAGUCUAAAUGGUGUUUGUGUGUGUGUUGUGCGUGUUGAGGUGCAAAUUGUCUUUUUUUGGGUACAUGUUAAGCUUGCUCUUCCGAAAUUUCAAGUCGCGCCUUGUUAUGCCGAAAAUUCAAGCUAGUGUCUCUGUCUAUCGUGCUGCGAAACUCCCGCCUCUUCAACCCGCGCCUUGUUAGCCCGAAAUAUUUAAGAUAUAUCUUUGUCUCAUUGUGCUCCGACAACUCCCUCCAUCUCAACCCGCGCCUUGCUAUUCCGAAAUUACAACGCGCGCGAAAACUCCCACCUCCUGUGAAAUCCCGACAUGCGAAAUGCCUGUGGUACCCCUGAACCAAAAGAACCGUCUCAAAUCGGUGGGGGUACUUUCGUAACUUACCCCACAUUUCGGACAAGCGCGUCUCUAAGCCAUGGUUCCCCACUGCCAUCCCAUACGCCCACCCAUUCGUACACCGAGGCCGCGAAAACCCGCGACGAAACCCCACACCCUGCUCCGUCCGCCACCCAGCCGGAGCCUCUUCCCCGACGACGUCGUCCACAGCAACACCUCGACGUCCCUCAUCCAUCGUACCGGAUGAGGAUCCGUUGUCGAUCUCAUCGUCCCGCCGGUUCAGCCACCCCAUCCUCCACCUCCAAGGAGCUGCCCCGACGUUCCCCUCGUCUUUUGCGCCACCUCCAUUCGCACACCGCCGUCUUCACCUACACCACCGGAAGAGCAUCAUCAUCACCGUUUCCUCGGAUGAAGUUGCGGCCUAAUCGACACCACCAAAGAGGUUGUACACUAAUCGCCGCAUUUUCUUCUUGAUUCGAUCUCACGGUGCUGCCGGCGCUCGGCCCCGAGCCCGACACGGCGCGGCUCCAUCCACGGCGGCGUCGCCGGCCACUUACUCCACGGCGUCGCUCCCUCGGCGGCGACGUCCACAUCAGUAGGAGCUGCUGCUGCUUUAGCUCUCGCUCGCGCUGCUGCUCUGCUCUUGCUCUCGGUCCCCUGCCUGGCCUGCUCUUGCUAUUGCUCUUGCUCGCGCUGCUGCUCUCGCUCUUUCUCUUGCUAGCGAUGCUGCUCCAAUUUAGCUACACUUCAGUCGACUGAAUCGACUUUUGGGUCAGUCAAUUUUCAGGGGGUGGGGGGCUCGCCGGGGUGAAGGAAGAACCAGNNNNNNNNNNNNNNNNNNNNNNNNNNNNNNNNNNNNNNNNNNNNNNNNNNNNNNNNNNNNNNNNNNNNNNNNNNNNNNNNNNNNNNNNNNNNNNNNNNNNNNNNNNNNNNNNNNNNNNNNNNNNNNNNNNNNNNNNNNNNNNNNNNNNNNNNNNNNNNNNNNNNNNNNNNNNNNNNNNNNNNNNNNNNNNNNNNNNNNNNNNNNNNNNNNNNNNNNNNNNNNNNNNNNNNNNNNNNNNNNNNNNNNNNNNNNNNNNNNNNNNNNNNNNNNNNNNNNNNNNNNNNNNNNNNNNNNNNNNNNNNNNNNNNNNNNNNNNNNNNNNNNNNNNNNNNNNNNNNNNNNNNNNNNNNNNNNNNNNNNNNNNNNNNNNNNNNNNNNNNNNNNNAGGAUGGGGGCGGUGGUCGCCGGCGGUGGCGGGGCGUUGGCGGGGCGGUGGCGUGGGGAUCGCCAGAGAAAAAGCUCGGCACGGGGGGCCUAGAGGGAUGGCCGGGGCGGCGGCGGACCGGCGGUGGGGAGUGUUUUCGGGGCGGGCGGGGUGGCGCACCGCCGGCCGCGGGCGGCGGGGGGCUGCUGUUUGGCCGGUGGUGUCUGGCGGCUCAGGGGGGGUGGAGGUUGAAGAUGAACCGCGGGCCCUUGAUUUCGUAUCCAACGGCUGCAAAAUCGACUGACCAGAGAUGAAAAAGUCAGUCGACCGACGUGUAGCCUCACCUUGCUAGUGCGUUCAGUUUCGACAGCAAAAUUCAGUUUCGACAGCAAAAUUCAGUUUCGACAGUUAAGUUCAGUUUCGCCAGUUAAGUUCAGAGAUGAGCGGCUGAUGUAUUUUACAUCUAGCACUUUGUGGUUAUGUAUUUUACGUCAUGUAUUGGAGAUGCUAUUAGAAUUCCACUCAGGUUAACGUUGUUCGUUGUCUCUCUUGUCCUGCUUCAGCCUCGGCGUCGUACAACUCACCGGAGCUGCUCCAACGAUGAAACCCUCCAUCACAGUGGAGCAGUACCUCGGGCUCCAACUCCAGACGCCUAAGAUCUUCUUCCCCUCCUCCGACAGCCAAGUCAACCGGAGCAUCCUCACCGGCCAACCCAAUCAUGUUGAGAUCGACAUGGCUUCGCCGAAGAGGUUGUACACUUGUUGCAUCUCUUUUUUACUCUACAUGUUAUAUAUAUUGUCCACUGAGCACUCGUAGUAACGGGAAAUACAAUUAUUUUAUCCUACUAUAUGACAAGCAGUGAGGUACCAGGCAACUUAACUUAGCUAUCCGUGAUGGACUCUCUUGAACGCCAUCAUUAUUUAUCUCUGCGCGUUUGAGCUGUGCAUUUGUCGAUGGGCCUGGGAGUUGAGCUAGUAUGGCAGUGGCCUGGGUCCAAAGUAAUAGAAGUAGCACAAAAACUUUUUUUAGUGUACGAUUUUCCUUGCUCAAGCCUGCCUACUAGAAUUGCCAGUGCUUAGAAAGGAAAAGUGAAUGAAAAACAUCGGAAUUGGAAAGUUUCCUAUGGUACUACUUUUCAUGAAUUUGGUGCAAAGGAAUGGAGCAAAGGAAAACUGUAGGAUUUGUUCCUUUAGUGUCUCCUUGAAGAAAAACCGUAGGAAUUCUAAUUUCCACUUCUCCUCCUUUUCAUAUUCCUAUUCAUCAAGCAUAAGACUAAAAGAUAGUAGCAUAAUAGAAUUAUAACCGUACAUUUUCUUAUGGUUUGACUUAAUCUCACCAUGCUUUUUUGCAUCCUGUGAUCUUCCAAUUGUUGUGAAUCAAACACCCAGAUUGGCAGAAAUCCUAUGUUUAUAAAUUCUCUGUUUUGCACGUGCAUUCCUAUCCUAUUCAUGUCUAUUUCCUAUCCCUACAUUGUUAGAAUCCUCAAAUUCAAACAAGCCCUUACUCAAUUACUUCUGUUACAGAUAUGUGUCAAAGAAAACCUUGUGUGGUUUGUCCUGCUCCUGCGGCGCUGUGUUCCACCCCAAGUCAGAUGCUCCAACGACGGAAGGGUUCACCACAGCAGGGAUCCGCUCUCCAGACUGUCUUUCGCCGCCUCAGAUCUUCUUCCCCGCCGUCGGCAGCCACGGCAAUUGCAUUACCAUCAUCAACUGAGCAGAUGACCUUGAGGACUACACGGGUCCGCAAGAGAGGUCGCACUCUUCCGUGUCUGCUUACGUUAUGCGUCGCUUAAUAUGAUGACAUGCUACAUUAUUGUCGUGUUCACCUAUUAGACUCCGAGUCAGGUCCAAACUAAUGGUGAAACUUGAGUUUUUAAAUGGUUGUGGGGUACAUAUUGGGGCAGCAAUCAGUACUAUCUGUCUACUAUCUGGUUAAUCUCCGAUGCCUACUAUGAGUUUCAUGUUGGGUGCAAACAAACAUUAAAGGAGCCAUUAUCUGUAUUUUUUAACUAAAGCUAUUAUCUGCCUGCUAUCAUUGGUUUUGGGUCUAUCCACAGUUUGCUACCAUCACUCUGGAUUUGUGCAUGCACUCCUUACAUAAUCUCACUAUGUUUUAUUCCUAUGCAUGCCAGUUAUUGUACAUAAUGGAACUGAUCAUGUAGAGCAAAAGAGACGAGCCUUGCGUGGCAAUAAAAUUUCAUUCAGACGUCGUUCCAUGGUGGGCGCAAAGGCAGCCCCCCCCCCUCCACCCAUUUCGGAUCGUAAUCAAGAGGAAGAUAAUUGUUCUGAGGGGGAUUCAGAAGGAGAAGACCACUCCUAUUUACCCCAUGAGGUCUUCGCUCUAACUUGGCAUGCUGAUGUUGGUAAUAUCAUGCAUAUGGUGCCUUGCAUUGCUUACUGUAUACAUUAAAGAUGUCAUCUGCUUAGUUUAGACAUGCUUUCUGUCAAUGCCAUCUGUUUAGUUUCUUUAUCGUAUAUGUGAAUCAUGCAAUGCCAUCUUGUCUAGCCAGGCAUCAUAUAUGUGAAUUUUGCACUGCCACCCUAGUUAGCCAGUCAUCUUAUAUGUGAAUUAUAUCAUGCCAUCAUUUUUUAUUACGUGUUAAAUUUGUCAACAAUUUUAAUACAUUCAAUUACUCUUCCUGCGCAUCAGCCAUUCGGCACGGUCAUGGAAAAAUCUGGAGUGGAAACAAGGUAUUCAGAGCAGACAAUGCUAUUUGACGAAGCGCAUGUCUUGCUGGUUACCGAUAGCUCCUCAGAGGAGGAUUCAGAGACAGAUGACCAGUCAUAUCCCCCCCCCGAGGUGCAUGCCCUAACUUGGCAGGGUUAUGUUGCUCAUAUCGUGCGUGUGAUAUCUUGCAUUGCUAUGUCAUUUGCUUAGUUUAGACAUGCUUUGUGUGAAUGCCACCUGUUUAGUGUCUAAUUACCAUAUAUGUGAAUUAUGCAACGCCAUCUUGUUGCAAGACAUUAUAUAUGUGAAUUAUGCAAUGUUAUCUUGUUGCAAGGCAUUAUGUAUGUGAAUUAUGCAAUGCCAUGCUGUUUAGGCAAGCGUCAUAUAUGUGAAUUAUAUCAUGCUAUCCUUUUUUUGUAUUUCUCAUUGCUUUUGUCGACAAUGUUUGUAUAUUCAACUGCUCUUCCUGUGCAUCAGCCAUUUGAAUUGGUGAUGGAGAAAUCUGGAGUGAAAACAAGGUCUUCAGAGCAGACAAUGCUACCUACUGAAGCAGAUAUCUUGCUGGUUAUAGAUAGCUUUUCAGAGGAGAAUUCAGAGGCAGAUGACCAGUCCUAUUAUCCCCCUGAGGUGUAUGCUCAAACUUGGCAGGGUUAUAUUACUCAUAUAAUGCAUAUGUUGUAUUGCAAUGCUUAGUUUUUACAUCAUAUACACAAUAUUGAAUGCCAUCUCCUUAGUUGACAUAUCAUAUAUGCGAUUGCCCUCUACUCACUUCCUUAGUAUAUAAUCAUAUAUUUGAAUUAUGUCAUGACAUGAUGUUUACAUAGACAACAUGUAUCUGAAUUAUGGCAUGCCAACCCAUUUUCUAAAGACAUAAUAUAGUUAUAUCAUCUCAUCCUGUUUACAUAGUCAUCAUAUUUUAAAUUAUGUCAUUCUAUCCAUGAAUUAUAUCAUGCCAUCAUGUUUCCAUCGACGGCAUGUUUGUGAUUUAUGGCAUGCCAACCACUUUAACAGACACAUCGUAUAGUUAUAUCAUGUCAUCCUGUUUACAUAGUCAUCAUAUUUUGAAGUAUGUCAUUCUAUCCUGUUUAGUUAGCCAUCAUACAUGUGAAAUUGUAUCAUGUUAUCCUGUUUAAUUAGCCAUCAUAUAUGUGAAAUUAUGUCCUGCUAUUCUGUUUGCUUAGACAACAUAAAUGUGAAUUAUUUCAUGCCUUGUUUUCUUUCCUACUAUCCAUUGCACCUGUCUAUCUUACAAUGUCUGUACAUUCAAUUACUUUUCUUGUUUAUCAGCCAUUUCAAUUCGAGGGAGUGAUGGCAGUAUCUGUGGGAGUAAAAACACUGUCUUCAGAAAAGAUCAUGCUACAUGUCGAUGCAGAUAGAACCACUGUUGUACUUGCCCAAGAACCAACCCCACCACACAUAACCCACACUCAUGCAGAUUGUACCCCUACCCAGUUGGACAGAGAACCAGCUACACCCCUUCUAACCCCAACCCCAGCAGAUAGACACCCAGUUCUCGUUGACACAGCACCGUCUCCACCACAGAGCACCCAAACACGAGCAGUUAGUAAGGCAACUGCAGUGCCCAAAUCACGAGGACCACCACUCCGAACCCGAAGUCAACGCUUAAAGCAAAAGAAGAAUUGUUCUCAGGUCAGGUUCCGUAGCUAUGGUUCAUACUACUUUGCUCUUGCAUCACUGUAUUUACUGAUACCAACUAAUUUCAAAUUUGAAGGAUGCAAUUGAAACUCCAAUGGCGCAACAGGUAUGUUUUAAACCUGUUUCUUCAACAUGUUUGGCUGUUUGCUGUUGUAACUUGCUCUAUGUUGAUUUCAGUUUCAAUUGAAUAAACAGUUAUGUUCUCAUGCCAUGCACAUUACAAGUGUUGUUAUUGUUGUGUAGUUUCCCACACUUAUAUUCUGUCCAUGCUGCUUUGUCUUAAAUAGAUAUGAUUCGAACUGUAUCUAUCUUGAUUUGGCAACAUAAACUAAAAUGAUAUAUGUUUGUUUCAUGUUGUUAUCCUAUCCACCUUACUACUGAACUGGUUUACCAAAAUGAGUUUCAUAUACUACACUGUAAACCUGAGAUGUGUUUGUUUGUUUCUCUUUUAGAACACGGAUAAAAUAUUGGAGAAGAGUACCCUGUUAUGCAAUGGUAAAGGAAGUAAUGCAGAUAAGAUUCAAGAUAGUGAGACAUCCCAGUUGGUCUCCAAGAAAGCUGAUAAAAACUAUAUUGAAGACACUGAGACAACCCCAAAGUCCUGUCUUGAUGUAGUGUUCGAGUUACUGGCUACCACUGCUGGCACCAGCUCUUCGAACUCAUUGCCUGAAUCAGUUCAGCUUCUUGAGUCUCAACUUCAAGUUGAAAGACAUCGAUCAGAUGUUAUGCGACAGGAAGCCGAAGGACUGAGGAAGUCCCUGCAGAAUUCAGAUGCAUACUUUCUGGUGCAACAGCAAGCGCUGGAGGACUUAAGCGCCAAACAAAAGAAAGUUAAUAAGCUUGCUAAGCAUCUUGCCAGCAUUAUGGGUACCAAGGAUAUUGUUGCUUGAGCUCUUCUGAAGUGGUUUCAGUUCUGAACUUGUUUUGUUGCGGCGUCUAUAUGCUGCUGUGUUCCCUAUAUUUGCACUGGUGGCGAACUUUGAUGCCCAGUGGAUGUAAUAUGUGUAAUAGCCGUGAUAGCCUAAUGUAAGUUGCUUGCUUAUUUAUUUCUUUGUUGUCUUGUUUAUUUGUUUGUUUGUAGUCAGUGCAAUUCUUUUUCUACGGUUUGCUAGUGGCUGCAAUAACCUAUUUUUUUAAACUAGGCCACAAUAACCAUGGGCUAAUAUUUACUAUAGUGACACUGGGCCUCCUACGGGCCGUAGAAACAGUGGGCCUUCUAUGGGCCGUAUAAACAGUGGGCCUUCUACGGGCCGUAGAAACAGUGGGCCUUCUACGGGCCGUAGAAACAAUGGGCCUUCUACGGGCCGUAUCAUCAAUGGGACUUAUACGGGCCGUAUGAUCGAUUGGCCAAACAGACCGCAUUCUGGCCAUAAACGGGCUAGAGUUGGAAUCGUCCGUUCAUGGGCCGACCAUAACAGGCCAUCGUUAAUAGGCCGUAUUUGAUGACGCUAUGAAAACGGCCCAACGUAUUAACGGACCACAAACGGGCCGACUGUAACAACGGGCUGAAUUUGGCCCACAAGCAGAAAAUGACAGUAACGGGCCCUAAGUAAACGAAUGCUGGAAAAUAGCCCAAGAAUAAAUGGGCUCUGAGAAGGCCGAAAGAUAACAUGGGCUGGAAACGGCCCAACGGAAUAACGGGCCGUUAAUGGGUAUAAAGUGAUACACUGUUCAUUACAGGCCAGUUUCACCACGGGCCGUUAAUGGGUGUAAAGUAAUACACUAUUCAUUACGGGCCAGUUUCAGCACGGGCCAUUAAUAGGCCAAGAGUUACAUAGGGCCUCAUAUGGGCCGAAAGACGUCAUGGGCCAUACAUGGGCCAGAAGUGAAAACGGGCUGGAAUCAUAUUGAAUGGCCCAGAUGACGCUAUUGGGCCUAAUUCGAAUAGGGCGUAACGGGCCUUGGGUUAGCGGGUUGUAAAUGGGCUAUAUGCGAACAGGCCGUUAACAGGCUUUCCAUGGGCCGGUCCGCCAGCUUUUGACCAAGUCAAACGGGCCGGCCUUUUCACAUGAAUGGGCCACUGUUGGGGCAAUAAUAAAGUUAUUAUUUAUUUCCUUAUUUCAUGAUAAAUAUUUAUUAAUCAUGCUAGAAUUGUAUUAACCGGAAACAUAAUACUUGUGUGAAUACAUAGAUAAACAGAGUGUCACUAGUAUGCCUCUACUUGACUAGCUCAUUGAUCAAAGAUGGUUAUGUUUCCUAGCCAUAAACAUGGGUUGUCAUUUGAUUAACGGGAUCACAUCAUUAGGAGAAUAAUGUGGUUGACAUGACCCAUUCCGUUAGCUUAGCACACGAUCGUUUAGUAUUCUGCCAUUGCUUUCUUCAUGACUUAUACUGUUCAUAUGACUAUGAGAUUAUGCAACUCCCGUUUACCGAAGGAACACUUUAUGUGCUACCAAACGUCACAACAUAACUGGGUGAUUAUAAAGGUGCUCUACAGGUGUUUCCGAAGGUACUUGUUGGGUUGGCGUAUUUCGAGAUUAGGAUUUGUCACUCCGAUUGUCGGAGAGGUAUCUCUGGGCCCACUCGGUAAUGCACAUCACUAUAAGCCUUGCAAGCAUUGCAACUAAUGAGUUAGUUGCGGGAUGAUGUAUUACAGAACGAGUAAAGAGACUUGCCGGUAACGAGAUUGAACGAGGUAUUGAGAUACCGACGAUCGAGUCUCGGGCAAGUAACAUACCGAUGACAAAGGGAAUAACGUAUGUUGUUAUGCGGUCUGACCGAUAAAGAUCUUCGUAGAAUAUGUAGGAGCCAAUAUGGGCAUCUAGGUCCCGCUAUUGGUUAUUGACCAGAGAGGUGUCUCGGUCAUGUCUACAUAGUUCUCGAACCCGUAGGGUCCGCAUGCUUAACGUUCAUUGACGAUAUAGUACUAUGAGUUAUGUAUGUUGGUGACCGAAUGUUGUUCGGAGUUUUGGAUGAGAUCACGGAUAUGACGAGGAACUCCGGAAUGGUUCGGAAGUAAAGAUUGAUAUGUGGAUAGUAGUGUUUAAUUUCCGGAAAGGUUCCGGAAUCCAUCGGAAGGGGUUCCGGAUGUUUCCCGAAAUGUUUGGGCACAAGAACACUUUAUCUGGGCCAAAGGGGAAAGCCCACGAGGUUUUUGGGAAGCGCAAAAGGAAGUUUUGCGGAGUCCAGGGGCCAGACGCCAGGGUCCCUGGCGUCUGGGUUCAGACGCUGGGAACCCUAGCGUCUGACCCUGGAGUCCGAGAAGGACUCUUGCCUUUCGGGUGAAACCGACUUUGUGGAGGCUUUUACUCCAAGUUUCGACCCCAUGGCUCAACAUAUAAAUAGAAGGGUAGGGCUAGCACCCAAGACAGAUCAAGAAACACCAAGCCGUGUGCCGGCAACCCCGUCCCAUCUAGUUUAUCCUCCGUCAUAGUUUUCAUAGUGCUUAGGCGAAGCCCUGCAAAGAUUUUUCUUUACCAACAACAUCACCACGCCGUCGUGCUGCCGGAACUCAUCUACUACUUCGCCCCUCUUGCUAGAUCGAGAAGGCGGGGACGUCAUCGAGCUGAACGUGUGCAGAACUCGGAGGUGCCGUGCUUUCGGUACUUGGAUCGGUCGAAUCGUGAAGACGUAUGACUACAUUAACCGCGUUGAUAUAACGCUUCCGCUUACGGUCUACAAGGGUACGUAGACAACACUCUUCCCUCUCGUUGCUAUGCAUCAACAUGAUCUUGCGUGUGCAUAGAAAAUUUUUGAAAUUACUACGUUCCCAACAAGUACAUGGAUCAACACAAUGCUAAUUCAGCAGGGGGAGAAAGAGAAGGCGAGAGGUCUCACCUUUAAUGUUCGUAUUCGUCGGUGACCAUGGUGAGCUGGACAAAGACAACAAGACUGAGCCAAACCUACACAGUCGGUGAGCUCUUCUUCUUUCUUAUUUGGGGAGAACCUUAUCAGGUAGGUAAUCUACUUGAUCAACAUCAAAGAUUGAAUCAUCAGGGCGCCUGCGUAAGGAAACCACGUCAGGGCAGAUCAGAUUAAAAAAACAGCAUAGUAAACCAAAUCGAGGUUAUGUUAUGGCUGACCACCAUGCUACAAAAGAGUUCAGAUCCAGAUAGUUCCCUAAACUCUAAUGUAGAACCAUAUCUCUCACACUCAAUUGAACAGGUAUGAAUAACACACUAUUUCAGAGUAAUAGAGAGAAGCAUGCUGAUUUAACCAGGCUAAGGCCAAAUUCGUUUUUAAGUAAAUAUGAAACAUGGUGUUGCAAUGCACAUUGCUACUACUUGCAAGUAAAGGACAAACACAAUGAUUACCUAGUAAUGAACAGUGAACUAGAGAUCUUAUUGACUUAUUGUCUGUCUCUAAGUGUUAACAGUCAACUCUCAUGUACCAUGCACGUCAUGCAUGAUCCCCAUGCACGUCGCACGUCCCAACGCCUCGCGCUCCCUGUUGUACAUGUAACUAUUUAUACACGGCAAUGGAUACGACAGCACCUGGGGUGCUUUGCUCUCUCAUUCUAUCAAUCCACACUGAGCAUAAGAACUUAUUGUUUGUCUCCGAGCAUAAGUGCAGUCCAUGGACUAAACACCCUUCCUUAGCUUACUUGGGGCAAAAUCGCCAUCAAAUGAAAUUGACAGUGGUGUAUAAUAUAAUAUAGCAUGUAGGUUGAACGAAAAAGUGAGAUUAUUACCAUAAAUAAAAGCAUGCUGACUAGCAUUGCAAGAUAUACAUAUGCCAGGCAUUUCCAAAUUAGUUGUCAAGUGUUUUAUUCAUUUCCUAGAGCUUGUUUGGGACUUUAGGUUCUCCAACACCUCCUAUCACCAAGAUCCACACAACCCUGUUGAAUUAGUUGAUGAUCAAGUCAUAAAACUUUGUAUGCUUCAGGAUCUGGAAGGCGUGAAUGAAUUAAUUACCCUGAGCAGUGUCGGCAUGUCGACGCCCAUCUUGACCUCCAUGAGCUACUGGUAGACCAGCAGCUUGCCAAGGCAGCAGGCGGAGUGGAGGGCAUUCAUGCCCAUGUAGGUGGUGUUGGCCACUGUCACAGGGAUCCCAUGCCCCUGCAUGUCCAGCUCCUUUGCAAAGU